ACUAUGUUUAUAGUCUCAAGCGUGGAGGGAUUCAUCGUGAACAUGUUGUCAGAUUGAAUGCUGCAGACUUUUCAGUUUCUUGUGAAUGCAAAUUAUUUGAAUCAAAAGGGUGGUUGUGUCGCCAUGCCUUGCACAUGCUGAAUAUGAACACAUCGGUUAAGGAUAUUCCAUCUUCCUAUAUUUUGAAAAGACGGACUAAAGGUGCCAAACAAGGGAUUGUGAAUGAUGAAUGUAAUGAAAUGUUACUUGGUGAAUCUAAAUUUAAUCGAUUUUCCACGUUAAUGGAAGAAUCUUUUGAAGUGAUGAGUUUGGGAGUGGAAGAUGUAAAUACUAUGAGAAUAGCGAGGAAGAACUUGGGAAAAAUGAAGGCUAAAAUUUCAUCUUACAAAUCAUGUGUGGUUGUGAAUGCUGAUGCUAGUGAUGAUGAUGAUGAUAAUGAGGCAUCCUUGUGUGACAUUUCGGUGUUGGACCCCCUUCGGAGGAGAGGAAAGGGAGCAACUUAUGGAAGGCUUAAAAGCUCAAGUGAGAAACAAAAAUCUAAGAAAGGAACGGCCCCAAUGUGAAUAGAAAAUCGAGAGUUGGGUGUCCAAGUGACACAUGAUGAAAGUCAUUUCCCAGAUUAUUUGAAUAAUUCAAGUCAGAUUCAAAGUGCUUUUUAUCCAAGCAAUAUUGGUGGUCCUACAGUAAAUCUAAAUUUUCAUAAUUAGGUAUAUCCCUCUUAGUCCUUAAUGGGUAUUUACAUGUUACUAAUGUGGUAUCUUUUACAUAGAUGCAACCACCAUACUUCAUGCCGCCGGGGAUUUUGAAUGGAUUUUGCCCAUUCCCUAGCUAGAUGCAAUCACCAUACGUCAUGCCACUAGGGAUUAUGAAUGAAUUUUCCCUGUUCAUGAGUCAAAUGUUGGAGUACCAUAAUAGAUCUCAUGGAACCAUUUUGAGUCGGGGGUCAUCAAACUCUUUUCAGCAUCUUGGGAUGAAUGAAUCAAAUGAUUAUGAAGGCAUAGACAAUGCACGGUCGCAGCCUAAAUAGUCGGGAAUGUGCAUACCACUUUAAAGAAAAACCGAGGUCUCUCCCUCCCCCACCCUACCAAAAGCAUUGAAUCCCUUGUUUAGAUGAAUGUGUGCACUCAUCAAGGGCCUGGAGUGGCUUUACUAUUGCUCUCAACAUGUGAAGUUAGUUUAAAACUUAAAAAACUAAUUGCUCAAAUGAAAACUUGUUAGUAUUCUAUAAUUGAGUUUAAUAUUUGUAGAUACUAACUUGCAUUUGAAGCUGCUUUAGAAGUGCGACCUCCAUAAGAAUUAGUUUAGUUUGUAGGAGGGAGUCUUCCUGCUACCUAAAUUUGAUAACACUAAUUGUUUCUUAAAAGGCAAAUGUUGCAGGGGUUUUCAUAUGAUGUUUAGGAUGAAGACAGCUUUUGCAUGAGAAUAGGGAUUGCCACCUGCUUUUUGUUGUCUUGUGGUGUUCACUCUAAAGUUUUCCUCUAUAAUACUAGCUUCCUAUGUUCGAUUAUGCCACGGACGACGUUCUCAAUGAAACUGCUUUAGUAACUUA